AACGAACGCUGGCGGCAUGCCUAACACAUGCAAGUCGAACGAGACCUUCGGGUCUAGUGGCGCACGGGUGCGUAACGCGUGGGAACCUGCCCUUAGGUUCGGAAUAACUCCCCGAAAGGGGUGCUAAUACCGGAUAAUGUCUUCGGACCAAAGAUUUAUCGCCUUUGGAUGGGCCCGCGUUGGAUUAGCUAGUUGGUAGGGUAAAAGCCUACCAAGGCGACGAUCCAGAGCUGGUCUGAGAGGAUGAUCAGCCACACUGGGACUGAGACACGGCCCAGACUCCUACGGGAGGCAGCAGUGGGGAAUAUUGGACAGUGGGCGAAAGCCUGAUACAGCAAUGCCGCGUGAGUGAUGAAGGCCUUAGGGUUGUAAAGCUCUUUUACCCGGGAUGAUAAUGACAGUACCGGGAGAAUAAGCUCCGGCUAACUCCGU
rnacentral:rRNA from 1 species